GGGGCCAUCCCAGCUGUUUUUCCCAGAUCGUUAACGAUACAGAGAAGAUUAACAUGGCUCCUGCGCAAGGAUGACAGAUCAUGAACAAGCAGCUGGACUACAAGUAA
ensembl:snRNA U6 U6 spliceosomal RNA